UGGGGAAUAUUGGACAAUGGGCGCAAGCCUGAUCCAGCCAUGCCGCGUGAGUGAAGAAGGCCCUAGGGUUGUAAAACUCUUUCAGCGGGGAAGAUAAUGACGGUACCCGCAGAAGAAGCCCCGGCUAACUCCGUGCCAGCAGCCGCGGUAAUACGGAGGGGGCUAGCGUUGUUCGGAAUUACUGGGCGUAAAGCGCGCGUAGGCGGUCCGCAUAGUCAGGCGUGAAAGCCCCGGGCUCAACCUGGGAACUGCGCUUGAUACUGGCGGGCUAGAGUCCGGGAGAGGGUAGUGGAAUUCCCAGUGUAGAGGUGAAAUUCGUAGAUAUUGGGAAGAACACCAGUGGCGAAGGCGGCUACCUGGACCGGUACUGACGCUGAGGUGCGAAAGCGUGGGGAGCAAACAGGAUUAGAUACCCGCGUAGUCC
rnacentral:rRNA from 1 species